CAGUAGCCGCGGUAAUACGUAGGGUGCAAGCGUUAAUCGGAAUUACUGGGCGUAAAGCGUGCGCAGGCGGUUUUGUAAGACAGAGGUGAAAUCCCCGGGCUCAACCUGGGAACUGCCUUUGUGACUGCAAGGCUAGAGUACGGCAGAGGGGGAUGGAAUUCCGCGUGUAGCAGUGAAAUGCGUAGAUAUGCGGAGGAACACCGAUGGCGAAGGCAAUCCCCUGGGCCUGUACUGACGCUCAUGCACGAAAGCGUGGGGAGCAAACAGGAUUAGAUACCCCCGUAGUCCCUGUCUCUUAUAC
rnacentral:rRNA from 1 species